rnacentral:misc_RNA from 1 species
CAACACACCUCAGGCUGCUUCCAAGCGAGGGCCCAAACCCACGAGGAGAGGGCACUCGUCCAACCUGGGGUCUUUUCCUGCAGAAGCAGAGCCACCAAGGGCAGUUUAAUCGCCCAGUGUCGGGCUACAAGUUGCACCACCUACACUGCGGUUUCAUAGCGAGCCCACACGCCCUUCCCCUCGUCCUCGCCGUCCUCGACCUCGCAUCUUUUCCUCGACCUCGCAUCUUUUCCUCGACCUGCCACUCUCGCCGGCUGGAUGCGAUGGAAACUCGUAGACGGCGUGCAGGAGCUGGAAUGCAGAACGAGUCUAUCGGAGAUGAA